rfam:Picea glauca, whole genome shotgun sequence.
ACAUGCCUACAACAUAGCGUUAAUGCACCAGAUCCCAUUAGAACUCCGUAGUUAAGCAGGCUUAGGCUACAAUAGUACUAGGAUGGGUGAGCACCUAGGAAGUCCUACCGUUUUACAUGCC